rnacentral:lncRNA from 1 species
UCACAACACAACUUUAGACACAAAUUAAAAUAAUACAAGCUUUAUAUUACAAGCCAGGGGCCUCGAGGGCUCGAAUACAUAAGCUCGAUUACACAAGAGUCAGCGGAAGCAACAAUAUCUGAGUACAGACAUAGGUUAGACAAGUUUGCCUUAAGAAGGCUAGCACAAAAACAACGUCGAUCGAAAAGGCAAGGCCUCCUGCCUGGGAGCCUCCUAACUACUCCUGGUCGUCGACGGUCUCCACGUAGUAGUAGGCAUCGGCGGUGGCAUCUGGCUCCUGGGCUCCGACAUCUGGUUGCAUCAACCGGAAAGAAGAAGAAAGGGGGAAAGAGGGAGCAAAGCAACCGUAAGUACUCAUCCAAAGUACUCGCAAGCAAGGAUCUACACUACAUAUGCAUCGGUAUCAAUGAAAUGGGUUGUAUCUGUGGACUGGACUACAGAAUGCCAGAAGAGAACGGGAAAGCCUAGCCUAUCGAAGACUAGCAUCUUCAAGCAGCUCCAAGCAUCUUGCAGCAUCAGAAGAGAUAAGAGUAGCAUAAAGUAAAGUAGUAGAAGUGUUAUCAACCUCGGCCAGAGAUCCUUUCUCGACUCCCUGCGAGAAAGCAAUCCCAGAGCCAUACUAUCUAGUUCUCAUCAUAAUCCAAUUCUCAUCACAAGUAUCCAGUUCUAGUUGUAUCGAUCGGGAUACAACUCCAAGUGUCUGUUACCGUAGGACAGGCUAUCGACAGAUGUUUUCUUCCCUGCAGGGGUGCACCAACUUACCCACCACGCUCGAUUAACUCCGGCCGGACACACUUUCCUGGGUCAUGCCCGGCCUCGGCCAAACAAUACGCCGCAACCCGACCUAGGCUUAAUAGAGAGGUCAGCACGCCGGACUAAACCUAUGCCCCCAGGGGUCAUGGGCCAUCUCUCCGGGAACUCCUGCACGUUGCGAACGCGGCCGGUGAGCAGACCUAGCUACCUCCUUAAAAAGGCAGGUGCUUACCAGUCCAACCCGGCGUGCGCCGCUCAGUCGCUGACGUCUAUUAAGCUUCAGCUAAUGCAUACGACGCAGAACGCCCAUACUAUGCCCACGUGAUGGUUAGUGCCAUCAGGCCAGAGGCCCCUUGGAUCAAAUAUCCAAAUCGUAGUGGAUUAGGAACGCGCGGUAACAAGCAGAGACUCACGAAAGAUGUGACCCCGUCGCCCGUCUCGAGGACUUGCGGCAAGGGCUAGGAAUGCCCGGCCACGCCUCGUAAUUAUCUCGUGGGCACCCUCCAGGUCAACCCGUCUCCACAUCACUCGCGGGUACCCCUCAGGGUCGACCCGCCUUUCCAAGUAACAGUGGUAAAGUCCAAGUAUCCGUGUGUCCAAACAUCAAGGGGAAAACCCGAGGAAUCACCCCCGGUGAAUUCCACUCGAUGUAAUCAUCAAGGUGAACGUAAGAGGAAUCACCCCUGAGGUUCACACUUGAGGGGUUGCACGACAGAGUCGUAUCGGAAGUGGUUAAGGCGGAAUCACCCUCGAUGACCAUGACCGAACAGCUACACUACAGGGUUAACAUCAGAAAUGCUGUAGAGGUCUCACCCUCGGCACUCGAUAGUAACCCAGCAGUGUCGAGCAACUAAGGGGAAAGUGAUGUGCGGUGCCGGGGCCUGGUCUUCGAUCCCGUUGAUCGGGUCUUCGAACAUAAAGCAGGGCAACUGGGACAAGGUGGGGGUCACUGAUGGAUCACUAACCAACCUAUACUAAGCAGUUUAGGAUAAGCAGGUAAGGUACAAUGAGCAGGUUACAAAAGCAGGCUAUGCAUCAGAAUAGGAGCAAACAAUAGCAAUAGCAAAAUCUAAUGCAAACAUGAGAGAAUGGAAUGGGCGAUAUCGGGAUGAUCAAAGGGGGGCUUGCCUGGAAGCUCUGCUGAAAGGGGAGAAGGAUCGUCGUCGACGUAGUUGAUCACAAUGGCAUCAUCAGCGGUCUCGGGGUCUACCGGAGAGAAGAGGGGGAAGAAACAAUAAAUAUAAAGCAAACAAAGCAUCAUAAAGCAUAACAUGGCAAUACGCGGUGCUAGGGGUGAACUAACGCGGUACUACACGUUGCAGACGGAGGGGAUAAACAUCCGAGGAUGAAUUCCCGACGUUAGGCGGAUUCCGGAGAGAGGAAAAGAGGGGGAAAAUUCCAUGUUCAACAUGCUAGGGGCAUGUGACAGAUGAACGGACCGCGUAUUCGGAUUCGUUGGAUUUUUUGAGCAACUUUCAUGUAGUAAACAUUUUCAUCGGAGUUACAAAUUAUUUUCUAAUAAUUUUCAAAGUUUUAUUGAUUUUUAAAAUUUUCUUUAUCUAGUUAAUUCAAACAUUAAAUAUGUCAGAUUACUUUUUAUACCCACUAGCGGUUAGCCUAAGUGUAUGACAGUGGGGUCCAGUCAAACAGUUGACCAGUCAAACUUUGACUGGUUAACAGGGUCAAUGGACCCACAUGUCAUAGACUAAAAUUUUAACAGAUUUGCUUGUUUAGUUUAAUUUAGCAGUGAUCCAUUGACAUAGACUAUUUACCUAAUUAGAUAAAUAAAGCAAUACUAGUUAGAGGGGAGGCCACAUGUCUUAGGAUAGCAAUUGAUUUAAGUAAUAGUACUGAUUAGCCUAACUAGCAACAAAAUUAGCCGUAACUAAUUCUUGGGCCGGCCACCCACACACACAGAACACACACGCCACACACACCACACAACACACACUCAGCCAUGGCCAUGGCCAUGGCCGAUAGCAGCAGCAGGCAGCACUAAGCGCAUUAGCAAUUGGCAACGGGCAGGAGCUAUCAGCAGCAGUACGCAGCGCUAGCAGCGGCAACAGAAGCGGCGCAGUACCACACAGAGAUAGUAGAGACAGUAGCGACAGUAGUCAACAGCAGCGGCAUGUAGUAGCAGAAAGCAGUCACCUAAGAGCACAACAGGCACGACAACAAGCAGCGCCGAGCGCGUUGUCGCGUCCAUGGACAUCGCCGGCUAGCAACGGCGGACACAACCAGGAUGCGGCCAGACGGCAGCGGCGCACGGGGAGCAGUGGUAGCAGCAGGCAGUAGCACAAGCAGUGGCAGGGGAAGGCAGCAGCAUGCGAUAGCAGAAGCAAGGCAGGCAACGGCGAGCGGGGGCGACGCAACUGGGCGAGGCCAGAGGCGAGCGCGGCCCCGGGGCAGGCAGAGCGCAGCAGGUGAUGUGACCAGCGUGCGGGAGCGAAGCUCCGGGCGCGGGUAUGGCAGGCUUCGGCCACGGCGGGCGCGAACUCACGAGGUGACACUACGGCGACGGAUCGACGGGGUAAACGAGGGGAAUCAGUCGAGGAGCUCACCACAGAGGCACACGGAGGCCGUUGGGAGGCUUAGGAGCUGCAGGCUUCGUCGGAAUCGACGACGACGCCGGCGACCGAAGAGGAAGAAGACGACGGCGAUCUCGUGAUGCAGAGAUGAGGAGCUCCAACGCGCGGCACCAACCGAUGGAGAGGGCGACGGUGGACCUCGUAGAUGUGUCGACGAGGUGCGGGGGCGGCGGUGGUCGCGGCGGGGCGAAGUGGCCGGCGACGAGCGCGUCGUGGAGGUGGAGGGAAAGGGGAUCUGGGGAGAGCCCAGAGGGGAGUGGGGCGACAGAGGAGCGAGGUGAGUGGAGGCGGGGAUCGAGGAGGCGGGGAGGCGCGGGGGCCUUAUCCGCCAUUGUCGGCGGCGAGGUGGUGCGGCUGGGCGCACUCGGCCUUGCCCCGGUCGGCUAUACAGGGAAGGCGACCGGGGAGGCAGGCUGGCUCGGGUGAGGUUAGGUGGGCCGGUUGGGCCGACCCAAGUAGGUUAGGUCCAGGGGCAAGGGCCUCCUUUCCUUUUAAAAAAACUUCUCUGCUUUCUUUUAUUUCAAAAAGCAAAACAGUUAUAUAAUUUAUAAAACUUACACCUAAAAUAUUAGUAUAACUCAGGCUACUGCCACAUUAAGUCUAACAUUAUAAUAAACUAGUUUAGCAUUUUCUUAACUCAAAAAGCAUUUAAUUUAAUUAUUUUUAGCCACUGUUAUAUACACAAAAGGGCAUUUAAAAUACUUUACAAAAGUGUUGGGUCACCACCAUAAUUAGUUAUGGAAUAUUUGCCACACUUUGAACAUUUUACUUUGCAUGUUUGAGAAAUUUAAAUUUUGGGCUUUAAUUUGAAUUUGAGUUUGAACUAAGAUUCGGAUCAAGCGAGGAUUAGCAACUGUAAUGUGAUGACAUGGCAUCAUUAGCGGGGGAUUACUGUAGCUUAAUUAUCCAGGCGUCACAAUUCUCCUCCACUACAAGAAAUCUCGUCCCAAGAUUUAAGGGGUGUAGUAGGGGGAAAGGCUCGGAAAGGACGGAGCUCAACACAAGAUAGGUAACUGGGGGCUAUCUCUCGAGUUGAAUUUCAAGAAAGUCAUUGAGAGCAAGAUAAGAAGGUGCAAUAAGAAGCUUCAAGUGGGUAGGCAAUUGUUCGUUGCCUGAAACAAAGGGGUAAAGGGGUUCAGAGCAAUGGGAAUAAAUAUUACGCCUGAUACUAGAAUAGAUCACUAGGAAUGUGGCUCGUGAUUUACAUACGAAGCCAAGUGCAAGAAAUAAUUUUGGAAAACAGGGAUGUAUAGGAGAGUUAGGUUUCGAUCCUGUGGAACUAUGGGUUAUGGGCCCACCAUGUGGGUUAACACCAGGAAGGCGCUAAUCAUUUUGCACGGUCAUGAUAGCAAGGCAGGUCAGAGGAUAGCCUGUCAAUUAUGUUGGCAACAACAUUGGUACCAAGGGCGAGGGAUGAAGAGAACCAUUUUCCUGCUCGUUGAAACGAGGCGGACCAAUAGGCAAAGUUCUCGUCCAUCGGUGGUUACCAAAAUGUCAUCAACAAUAGUAACAGGGUCUUACUGAAAAAUUAUACACCAAGGUGUUUACAUAAGUAGGGAACUAUUACUGCUUAGAUCAUAUAGAUCACAAGAAAGGUUAAACAAAACAAUGGAAAGGAAAAUGUGGUUAUUAGUUUAACCAGACCAAUGGCAAGGAAAAGGUGCUUAUACAAAAGCAUUAGAGUAUAUGCUUCCCAAGAACAAACAGAGCAUGAUAUACAUGACAGGACAUCAAGUACUUAUCCAUUUAGUUAAUGGGGCAAGGAGAAUCAUGAUGUUUACCCAUACAGCGGUGUUUGGUUAAUUGAUGAAGAAACAUUUAGCAUUGCGCCUCCAAUGUUCUUAACGAUGUUCGGAGUAACACAGUCAUACUUUUGGAUGGCAUUGACAUGGUCAUCAGGUAAAGGACGGACCUUGGGAACACAAAGGAUCCAUCGGGAAUUACUUGAACACCUCAUGCAAUUUUAUCAGGGAAGACGAGGAGGUGGCCGAUGGAUUCAACAAAAAUCCAUCGACAUGUCAAAAAGGAUAUAUUUCCAUAAUUUAUAUGAACAAAUUUGUGUUGGGGGGAAGGGAAAAAUGUUGUCAAUGAUAACCCAAAUCAUCGAGGGGCAAGGGUGGUAUUUCUCAUCAUGAAUUCAAAUAAUAUCCUGGAAGAGCUCAGAAUGUUGAUGAUGAUCACGACACAUUUGCCGAGAGAUUUCAUGAAGAUGUAAUCGAUCGGCGAUGACAUCAAGUCAACAAAAUGGUGAAGCGAAAGGUUAUUGGAACCACGGGUACGACACAAACUCGAAAUCGAACUUGCUGUUCAAGGUGAAAUUAUAUGACGAGGAAGAUCCAUGUAAGCUUAGCUCAUCAUCGAAAAUUAUGCUUCGGGAAGAAGGACCAGGUAGCACAGUUAAAAUUUAGCACGAUAAUAAUAUAGCCGAUCAGGCUAGGGAUGACUUGAAGGAUUAAUAAACUCAUAAGUAAUGAAAAUGACUUAGAGUUAUUGAAUCGGAGUGCGAGGAAUCGAUUCACUUAUCGGUGUUCUUGAGUGGCUAAUAACGCAGAACCCGGGGGAAAUCUAAAAUCGAUGAGAAGCAAUACUAGCAGAUGAAGACUCAUAGGAAGCAACACAGUUCUUUGAUAUUCUCGAGAUACCGAAGGGUAAUACUUGAAGGAAGAUCAAAAUAGAGGUUGUGGAGUUGCAUUGAUCUGCAGAAGACAAGUGUGUGAACUUGUCCGAGAAAUGGAAUCAAAGGGGAACAAUCAUGGUUAGAACCACGGUUGCAAAGUACCAAACAUAGAUACCAGAUGAACUUAUAACAAGGGGAUUAUUAUUAUCACAAGAAGCUUCCAUGAUAAGUGCCACAUCGGGUCCAUGGGCAUGAACACAAAGUUCAAGGUCGACUCCCAGUUCAUCAAUGCAUAACCUUUCAUUCACUCCUCGUUUUCAAAGAAAUUGUAGUGCUGAAGAUUUAUCUAGUGAAGCACCAGAAGAGUAUGACUCGCAUAACUUUCGAGUUCACACGAAUUAGGAAAAGCAUAGGUUCAACCCAUCGGGACAUUUUUACGAAGCUAUACAACACAAUAACAGGAGCGACAGGUACACGCUCGAAAGCAAAGGGCUGGCAAUACGGAGUAGAUGAUACAAUUCGCCAGAGGCAUUUUCUAUCAUGGGAAAGUCGUCAAUGAUUUAAAAUAUGAAGGAGCUGCCAAAUAGUAAUCCACCAAAAGAUCAGGUGGUCCGCAAAGGAUCUGAUGUGAAUAUCAGUACUCAACCAGAAGAAGAAGGAAUGCAAAGUAAUCGGUUUAUGGAAACAUCUGAAUAAGCCGAAGCUUGAAUACGAAGGGUUUACGAUCCCAAAAUCGGGGGAUCAGAGGCAGAGGCUCUGAUAAAAAAAGAUGAGUAUGUUGAAUAGAAUUAGAUGGCCAAUCAAUCAAGGAUUGAUUUACCGAGAACCAGCUCAUAUCCAGAAUGAUGUCUGAGCCGGAAAAGAUGAAUUCUAGGAAUCGACGGAUGAAAGGGAUUAUUCUUAUUCAUAUUGAAUCAAUAGACUCGGAAUGACAAUGACAAGGAAUGCUAAUGAAUAUUGCGAUACAUAUGGAUGUAUCCAUAAAGCAGGCUGACAAGACCUUCGGGAGCAAUAGGCUGCGGACGAUCUUCAGGAGAUUGAAUAGCAUUUUGAAGAAUUUCGUGAGACAUAUGAUCAACUGGGGAUGAACGAAUCCCCGAUAAGAGUGAGGAAUUAUUCGUAGGGUUAUUCAGGAGGAAAAGAGCUACAAGGCAGUCGGAAAAAGGAUUCUCGAAAGUCGGAGAAUACUUUCCGGUAUCUUGCAAUAACAAGAACAACUAGGGAUGGAAGUAUGAAUGGCGAGGGUACGUAGUUAUCCAUAAGGAUUCAACGGUGUUAAGGGAUUGCAAAAGAAAUGAACACAAGUUCUGGGGAAUAGAUCGGAGAGUAUCUUCGAAGUCUUCUAGUGAAGCAGGUGAUCAUCUGUAGUGAAGGGGCUCUCCGGGAGGAAGUGGUUACGAGAUCCUAGAGUCAGAGUUAGUAAAAUCUUUAACCCGAAUAGACGAGAGAUCAGAGUCCCAGAGUAUAGACGAGGAAUAAAAAGAUCCUAAUACCACCCAAUGGCAACGUGGGUCCGUAAGACACACAACCAAUGUUACUAAAAGUUUUUCAGUGACUAGACUCAACUUCGGCCAAGGAGUUGGAAAGGGGGCUACCUACAGGCAGUCGGCUCUGAUACCAACUUGUGACGCCCUUGAUUCAAUCAUACACUAAUCAUACACACAAAUGUGUACGAUCAAGAUCAAGGACUCAUGGGAAGAUAUCACAACACAACUUUAGACACAAAUUAAAAUAAUACAAGCUUUAUAUUACAAGCCAGGGGCCUCGAGGGCUCGAAUACAUAAGCUCGAUUACACAAGAGUCAGCGGAAGCAACAAUAUCUGAGUACAGACAUAGGUUAGACAAGUUUGCCUUAAGAAGGCUAGCACAAAAGCAACAUUGAUCGAAAAGGCAAGGCCUCCUGCCUGGGAGCCUCCUAACUACUCCUGGUCGUCGGCGGUCUCCAUGUAGUAGUAGGCAUCGGCGGUGGCAUCUGGCUCCUGGGCUCCGACAUCUGGUCGCAUCAACCGGAAAGAAGAAGAAAGGGGGAAAGGGGGAGC